AGAACUAGAACAAGUAAAUAGAAUUAUGUCGAUUACAGUCAUGGAAUUUUAGUGUUCUAUGAAGUCAACAAAGUCAGAAAUUAUGAGCAUGUUCUUUGCUCCUAAGAGUAUGAUCAAAAUCAUUUGUGCACCUCAGAUUUGCCUCCCUCUUGGAUCACUCAUUCUCAGGGAAAUCAGCCACCAUUUUCUGAGCUGCUUUACAGAGAAGCCCAGGAGGUAAAGAGCUGGGGGGACCCCAGUCCAGCAGCCAGCAAGGAAAUGAAGCCUGCCAACAACCAGGCAAGUGAGCUGUGAAGUGGAUUCUCUGGUCCUAAUAGAGCCUUCAGAUGAGAGUGGGCCAAGCCAACUGUACUCUUGUGAGAGACGCUGAGCAAGAACCACCCAGAUGCCCACUCCCAGACUCCAAGCCCUCAGAAUCUGUGAGAUAAUUAAUGUUGUUUUAACCUGCCACCUUGAGGAAAACGAAUAUAGACACAAAGAGCACAGAGUGUGGGGACAUAACGUGUUGCUUUAUCUCUCAGAACUUUAUCUUCCCAUUCUUAAAACCAGGUCUUACUUAACUAUAUUUUAGAGAGAAGUGCAAAAUAUAGAAAAAUAAUGUUUAACUCUAUCAAGUACGUAGUACUAUACCAAACGUAUAGGGUCAUAUAG